GGAAUCUUGCACAAUGGACGAAAGUCUGAUGCAGCAAUUUCGCGUGAAGGAUGAAGCAUUACGGUGUGUAAACUUCUUUUUUGGCAGAAGACGAAUGACGGUAUGUCAAGAAUAAGAGACGGCUAACUACGUGCCAGCAGCCGCGGUAAUACGUAGGUCUCAAGCGUUAUCCGGAUUUACUGGGCGUAAAGUGUCCGUAAUCUGAAUUAUAAGUCUGUCUUCAAAGACCACGACUCAAUCGUGGGAAGGGGGUGGAUACUGUAAUUCUGGAAGUAUCUGGGGGUUAGUGGAAUUUCCGGUGGAGCGGUGAAAUGCGUUGAUAUCGGAAGGAACGCCGAAAGCGAAAGCAGCUAACUACAGAAUACUUGACGAUGAGGGACGACAGUUCGGGUAGCAAACA
rnacentral:rRNA from 1 species